rnacentral:lncRNA from 1 species
UACAAUAAUAUUUUAAAAUAUAAUCAUUGUAUCAUCAAGUAGGUACCAUGACAUGACAUUGUUCUAUAAGAGGUAUAUACAAUCGUAACAUAUAUAUCCUAUUUAUACCCUAUAAGCAUGUACAUCACCAUAACAUAACCUAUAAACAUGUACUAAUUAUAUGUAAACGUCAAUCUUCCCUAACUUCAAUAAUUUGAUUGUCAUGAUAUUGUUGAUAUCUGCAAUUAGGAAAAUACUGCAACAAAGAAAAAUAAUAUAAAAUUAGUCAAUUAAACUUUUUCUGCAAAUUAAUUAUGACAAUAAAGAUAACUUACCUUAGUUGAAAUUGUUCCUCCUUCACAUGUGAUAAUUUCUUUCAUAUACUGACACACAUAAUAUCCAUAAUCAUUAUCAUUGGGUUGUCUUAAAUACUAGAAAACCAAAAGUAGAAAACAUAAUUAUAAUUUGAACAUAACUGUAAAUCAAAAGUCUAGUAAACUCUAAACAAAUUCAGUGUAUGGUAACAAACAAUUAUAUACCAUGCUUUCAUUAUAACCAUAUACUCCUACAACCAGUUUCACAAUAAUAUGUUUUAUUCACUUGAACUUUGAAAAUAUUCUUUUUAAGAACUUUAAGUUCAAUGUUAUAAUAUACACUUAUUACACAUUUACAAUAGUUCAUAAUGCUAUCAAAGCAGGAGCAAUCUACCAGUCCAUGUUUUUGAUUUUGAUCACAAUAGCAAUCAAAGCAGGAGUAAUAUACACUUAUUACUCAUAUACACUUAUUACACAUUUACACUUACUCCACAAAUGAUUUUGAUCUGACAAAAAAAUGCAACAAUGUGUAAAGGCAUCCAACCAGAAAGCAUCACAUUACAAAAGCUCUCAACAAAGAACAAAAGAAUAAAGGUAGCAUGUUUUUAACUUUAAAACCAUACCCAAUCAACUAUACUACACCACACCAUCCUUAAUAUCAUAAGGAGUUAAUUAAUUUAAACGCAACCCAAAACAGAGUGACAAUUAGCAGAAUAUGUAAUCACAACGCUCGUAGGUAUAACAUUCAAUUACAACUUAAACCAAGUUUAAAUUAUGAUAUUUCAGCCAUCUAAACUAGUCCACAAACAAGGGUGUAUCAGGUUUAUAGUCACUUACCAAGCAUUAUGUUACUUCAUAUAUGGCAUACAUUGCAUCACAAUAUUUCAAACUGAAAAUUCUAUAAUUAAUUAAUUAUUAUAUUGCAUAUAUUUUUUUGUUGAAGAAUAGUUGAUAAUUUAGGUUUAUUUGUUGUUUACUUUUUUAAUUUUAUGGAAGCUUUACAAAGGUUUGCAGUAAUUAAUUGCAAAGUUGAGAACAGCUUAUAUAUAAAAAAGUAUUAAGUAGAGGGUAAUGCGGCACACCAAACUUCACAAAUGUACUGCUUUGUUUUUAUUACUGCUCAUUUUUUUUUUGUUACUUUUAAAACCUUAAAAUUGGUACCACCAUGUAAAUUUUUGGCUUUUUUCAUUGAUGAGAUUGUUAUGAGUUUAUAUCCUAAAGCCAAUUCAACAUUUGGAAAAUAUUGGUACAUAUAAAAUGUUGGAAUGUAAAAUAUUACCAAAAAAAAAAUUACUGGACUAUUUGAUGCCCUCAAAUUCUCCACCAGAUCUGCAAUCUCCAACUGCUUCAUCACUAUAGCAUGAAGCACCCGCAUUAAUAGACAAAAUAUAAAUACUAUAUAGUUAGGAUAGUUAACAGAAAACUGAUGAAGCCUUUUUUUCUUUUUAAUUGAUUCUUCUUCUGAAAGAAACGAUUCAACUGAAACACAAUAAGUAAAUUUCUUUAUAAACAGAGUAAGUAAUCUAAAUAACUUAAAUGGUAAUGAGUAUUACAACAAAGAACUCAUGAGCUAAUUUCAUCACUGAAACAUGAGGAUGAUGGUAGUAGAAACCAAGCCUCUAAAAACAAAUAGAAGAAAAGAAAUCAAGGAUAUAUUUACCUAUAUCAUUUUAAUCAUAAAGCUCAGCAUAGAAUACAUAUAUUAUCUUCCACUUGGAUACCGACAUGAUUGCAGAGAUAAAAAUCAAAUCCUAUUAGAGCAAUAUAUUUACUCAUUUAAUUUUUUACAUGAGCAAUUCAAUUUAGUUACACUCAGCAUACCAGGCAAUAUAUUUCCACUCUUUCUAUAUUGUUUCUGUCCUUGUGGUUGUUUGCAAACAACUGAGUAUGGCAUUAGAACAUUAAUGACAUUCUCUAUUAUUUUACUAGAGGUUAAUAGUUUGGUUCUAAAGAAGCACAUGUCUGCAAGCAUAUACAUAUAUGUAUUCUUGUCACAACAUGUGGUAUAUAUUGAACAAUUAGAACGUAUGUAGGAAUGUGUAAAAGAUUAUGAUUUUGACCUUUCGAAUUACAUCUAACUCGUAUAGUAGAACUUGGUAAAAUUUCCCUUCAUUACAUCAUUCCUGUUCGAAUUUCUUGUUAGCAUAACAGUUUCAACAAACUAUAAUUUUUAAAAAUUUAGCCCCUGUAUCAUAAUUAACAUAAAUUAAAAAUACAUACCUAAAAAAUAUAAUCCUUAAAGGUUUUUGUCCUGUUACUUUUUCUAAAGAAAAUCAACAAAUCUCUGCAAAAAAAAAAAAAAAAAGGACACAACAAAAUU